UACGUAGGGGGCAAGCGUUGUCCGGAAUCAUUGGGCGUAAAGAGCUCGUAGGCGGUCUGUUGCGUCGGCUGUGAAAACCCGGGGCUCAACUCCGGGCCUGCAGCCGAUACGGGCAGACUAGAGUUCGGCAGGGGAGACUGGAAUUCCUGGUGUAGCGGUGAAAUGCGCAGAUAUCAGGAGGAACACCGGUGGCGAAGGCGGGUCUCUGGGCCGAUACUGACGUGAGGAGCGAAAGCGUGGGGAGCGAACAGG
rnacentral:rRNA from 1 species